rnacentral:rRNA from 1 species
AGUGAACGCUGGCGGUAGGCCUAACACAUGCAAGUCGAACGGCAGCACAGUAAGAGCUUGCUCUUACGGGUGGCGAGUGGCGGACGGGUGAGGAAUACAUCGGAAUCUACUUUUUCGUGGGGGAUAACGUAGGGAAACUUACGCUAAUACCGCAUACGACCUACGGGUGAAAGCAGGGGAUCUUCGGACCUCGCGCGAUUGAAUGAGCCGAUGUCGGAUUAGCUAGUUGGCGGGGUAAAGGCCAACCAAGGCGACGAUCCGUAGCUGGUCUGACAGGAUGAUCAGCCACACUGGAACUGAGACACGGUCCAGACUCCUACGGGAGGCAGCAGUGGGGAAUAUUGGACAAUGGGCGCAAGCCUGAUCCAGCCAUACCGCGUGGGUGAAGAAGGCCUUCGGGUUGUAAAGCCCUUUUGUUGGGAAAGAAAAGCAGCAGGAUAAUACCCCGCUGUUCUGACGGUACCCAAAGAAUAAGCACCGGCUAACUUCGUG